CUUUUUAAUUGGAAGCUGGAAUGAAGGGUAAUUUAAGGGGAAAGUUUUGUUUUAUAAGUUUGAAUUUUAAUUAAAAGUAAGAAUGCUUUUAUAAAAUCUUGGGACGAGAAGACCCUAAAAGUUUUAAAUUGUAAAAUUUUUAGUUGGGGUAACAUUAUUGAAGAGAAAAAUUUUUAAGUAAUUAUUUUUUAUAAAUUACUUUAGGGAUAACAGCGUUAUUUAAUUAGCAAGUUCUUAUUAAUAAUUAAAGUUUGCGACCUCGAUGUUGAAUUAAAUGAAAAUUUGGAUGGAGUAGUUCAGAUAAAUAGUCUGUUCGACUAUUAAAGGUUUACAUGAUUUGAGUUCAAACCGG
rnacentral:rRNA from 1 species